GCCGGGUGUGGUGGCACACACCUGUAGUCCCAGCUACUCUGGAGGCUGAGGCAGGGGAAUCGCUUGAACCUGGGAGGCUGAGGUUGCAGUGAGCCAAGAUCGUGCCGCUGCACUCUAGCCUGGGCAACAGAGCCAGACUCUGUCUCAA
rnacentral:SRP_RNA from 1 species